rnacentral:rRNA from 1 species
GUCCACGCUGUAAACGAUGAGAACUGGCCGUCGUGGGGUUUGACCCUCGCGGUGGCGAAGCUAACGCGUUAAGUUCUCCGCCUGGGAAGUACGGCCGCAAGGCUAAAACUCAAAGGAAUUGACGGGGCCCGCACAAGCGGUGGAGUAUGUGGUUUAAUUCGACGCAACGCGAAGAACCUUACCUGGACUCGAAAACGGCCGGAUCUGCCUGAAAGGGCGGAGUGCCCGCAAGGGAGCGGUUGUCAGGUGCUGCAUGGCUGUCGU